rnacentral:ribozyme from 1 species
UUUUUUUUUUUUUUUUUUUUUUUUUUUUUUUUUUUUUUUUUUUUUUUUAGACGGGCACUGUUGAAAUGA